CGUGUCACACAGCGUCCUGAAGUUCAAGAUGCUCACAAAGACCAGUCCGUGUCAUCGAGUAGUAGUACCUCAAUAACUGAAUGUCCGACAAAAAAAACUUAGGUCCAGGACGGGCCUGCCAGUAGCUUGUGCAGGUCCUGUGCUUCCUGCCUUGUGCAUCAUUUGUAAGAAAACGGACAAGUACAUUACUGUGGCAGGCAAACGCCAGAAGGACCAUCUUUCACAGGUAGAAACAUUGUCAGCAGGCCAGUUGCUGAAAGCUGCUGAGAUGAAAGAAGACACUAGCAUUCUUGUGCAUAUUCAAGACAAAGACUGUGUGUCUCUGGAGGUGCGAUACCACAAGUCCUGUUACAGACAGUACACCAGGUUCUUGACAAAGUCUACUGCAACAGUUACUGGGACCUCAGAAGAACAAAAUGAGCCAACCUUCGAUG